AUUGAACGCUGGCGGCAGGCCUAACACAUGCAAGUCGAGCGGAUGAAGGGUGCUUGCUCCUGGAUUCAGCGUCGGACGCGUGAGUAAUGCCUAGGAAUCUGCCUCCUAUUGCUUUCUUACGUCUGGAAACGGGCGCUAAUACCUCAUACGUCCUGAUGUAGAUCUUGGGGGAUCUUCGGACCUCACGCUUUCAGAUGUUCCUAGUUCGGAUUUGCUAGUUGGUGGGUUAAAGGCCUACCAAGGCGACGAUCCGUAACUGGUCUGAGAGGAUGAUCAGUCACACUGGAACUGAGACACGGUCCAGACUCCUAAGGGAGGCAGCAGUGGGGAAUAUUGGACAAUGGGCGAAAGCCUGAUCCAGCCAUGCCGCGUGUGUGAAGAAGGUCUUCGGAUUGUAAAGCACUUUAAGUUGGGAGGAAGGGCAGUAAGUUAAUACCUUGCUGUUUUGACGUUACCAACAGAAUAAGCACCGGCUAACUUCGUG
rnacentral:rRNA from 1 species